GCGUGCCCGCCGCCCGGGCAGCCCCCGCCUGCCCCUGUGCCAGCCCGCCCGAGCCAUCACCGAGCCCGCCGGCGCGGCCGAGGGCAAGCGAGCGGGCCUGCGGGUGUGCCGGCCCUGCGGCAGGGAAUCAUCGAGUCAUCGGGGCUGGAAGAGACCUUUAAGGUCGUCCAGUCCGACCGUCAGCCCAGAACUACCGCUGUGACCCCCUGAAACACUAAACCACGUCACCCAGCGCCAGGCACAGCAGAAGAGACCGGCCCCCACCUCACUGCAACCUCCUGUAGGUGGUCGUGAAGAGUGAUGAGGUCGCCCCUGAGCCUUCUUGAGACUAAACAACCCCAGCUGCCUUAGCCCUUUCUCACAAGGCUGAAGGGCCAGAGGAAUACAAAUACCUAACAUUUCCAUUAUUCAGUGGGAUUUUUGAGGAUUCUGAAAUGGAACACUGUCUGCAUCACUCACAGCUGGAAAUGAAGAGCUAAAUAUGAUUCUUUUGAGUCUUGUUCAAAAAAUAUUUAGAAAGCACAGGACACCUGGAUGGUGUGGUGAGCAAAGAUUCCUACAUGCUGUUAGCUCACAGUUAAAUGUGAUAUACAGAGUGCAGUUGUUCCUUUUUACCCUUGCUGAUGAGGCUGUACCUUGAACUCACAGAGAGCUGAGACACCAGUUGGAUUCUUGGCAAACUCGGUGUUACCCUCUCUGCUACGACACCCAGUCAUUUCACCAGCCCUAACAAUAAUUUGAUUAUAUGAUGUUCCCUCAAAUCUCUUUUAAAUAAAAUUCCUGCAUUUUGUCUGCAUCUGUUUCAU